GAGGACUAGUUUGUUUGUGAUAUUUUGCAUGUAUAGGGAGUUGCUAAAGCAGAGACGGUGUUCCUUUAGCCUGUAUAUUUGCAGAUAUUUUUUGCCAGAGGGUCGAAAUGUGUUGUUUUGGGUCUCGGGCCACUGUAGUUUUUGGGCUUCAACGGAAUGAAUUGCAAAUUUUUUGACUGCCUGCCUAUUGCAGAUGGGAUAAUUUCUUUGUAGAUUUGCAAUCUUAUGUCAUAUAUGUUCUCAACAAAAUGUGUUUUUCUUUUUCCAGGUUGUGUAGUUUGGUAUCAGAAUUAUUAGACGUAUUGCUUGUAGGACAUUGACGGCAGGAACUUGAAAUUAACUGUGGAGUGCUACCUUAAGGUUGUGUAGUUUGGUAUCAGAAUUAUUAGACGUAUUGCUUGUAGGACAUUGACGGCAGGAACUUGAAAUUAACUGUGGAGUGCUACCUUA